CAAACGUUCCUGCCACUAAUAUAACGCGGCGCGAGACCACUCACCCUCACAGUCCUGACGAACGGCUUAGACCAAAGCAUUACCUAUUCUUCAUCUGACAGCUUCUGUUGAGGUUUGCGAGUGAAAUUCAACAUCAGAAAAUGUUCGAAACAGACUCAAAGUGCAAGUUGUGCGUGCUUGGAUCCCGAAGCAGCAAGAAUUAUAAAUGUUUUUUGGAGGUAGCAUACUCUAACUUCUAGCUUUCACAUACUGUUCCAUGCAUUGACGUGUGGGUGCUGAUGUCACUCCAGAUUGAGGAAACGUUCAAAGAGGCAAACAGCUGAAUCCUGAUGCAUCGCGAGGGCCCCGACCCAAGUGCCUGCGAUGCACGUGUGCCUCUACAGUGCUUACACAAAAUCCAUAGUCUGACUUCUCAGCGGAAGACCGGCGUGUCUCCAUCGCCUGCAUGUCUCGGCAACUACCUCGACACGUGUCCAUCGUGUUUACAAUGCUAGAAUGUCUCCCAAAACACUGUUGGGAUUUCAAAAAAAUUGAGAUGCUUUCCACAACUUCAAUUCCAUGCUUUCUAUUCUGAAGUGGGUUUUUGUUGCAAACGCUUCAGAUCACGAGCAUGGUUACUUCGAUGAAUACUGGUCUCGGCACUAAUUAUUCAUAUCUUUAACCCGUGUGAUCUCACUCACCUCGACUGAACUUGCUUGUCAAAAUGAUGAUCACCAGUCCCUUAGCCAAGUGUUCCAGGUAUUUUGACGCUAAAGACGCCGGUGCCCAUCAUUAGGAUACGCUUUUCAUUACAACUUUUACAUCAGAUCCGAAGACCUCUGAAAGUGAAAUCUGAAGUGGAUGUUUGUUACAACCACUUCGCAAGCCCGGGGAGUUGAAUUCAGAGGUGGAUGUUUGUUACAACCACCUCAACGCAAGCUGGGUUCUGAAGUGGAUGCGUGUUACAGCAGCCUCUUGUGAGCUGAAUUUUGAGGUGGCUGUGUACUGCUGCAACUUAAGGGACCCGGUGAGCUGAAUUCUGAAGUGGAUGUUUGUUACAACCACUUCGCAGACUCCUUGGGUUUGAGCUACAAAUGGAUGUUUGUCAUCCGCUUAAAACGCUCUCUGAGGUUAAUUCCGAUGUACGGUUUUGCCUAAAAGAAUUAUGAACAAAAUUUUGAGGUGGAUGAUUUCACAAACCGAUUCAGAGAAUAUAAACGGGAUAAGAUUUUGUGACCUAAAAUGAAAUUUUCUAGCUACUCCCCUAACUUGAUCUGUUGUGUGAACACCUACCAUUACCAUUUCGAAACACCAACCCCUCCCUCCUCGCUCCCCCACCCCUCCCCCAGCCUCCAAUUCACAUCCCCCUUUGGUGAAAUGGGGAAUGAAUGUUAUUACAGCCCUCUGCUCCCCCCCCCCCAUGCCCGAGAGCCACGGAAUGGAUGAAAUAUAUUAGAAACACCUCAUCAGGUUCCUCCUCCCUCCUCUUGUCCCAGGAUGUUGAAAUGGAUCUUUAUCACUCCUAUCCCUCUUCCCUCCUUCCGCACAUCACUUGGGAAGAUCAAUUCUAAACAUCUCAUCACCGUCUCGCUUUCUCUCCGUGUCUCAAAACUUGGGAAUGAUUGUUUAUGACUAGUAAUUUUCCCUCUCGUGUGUUCUCGUCGAGGACACGCUGCUUAUGGACUUUUUAUUAUGAUACUUUCACACUUGGCCACACACUUAUUGGCGCUGGGAAAGGCAGUCUUUUAAAACUGGCUCAUCCGUUUUCUCUCGAUUUAUUUAGAUUUCUAUCUUUCGCUGCUGUUUGAUAUCCACUCCUUCUGGCAAAAUAAAUGAUGAAUAACUA